CCAAUUUGGCCUCUCUCUGAUCCUUCAUCUAUGCUGCUGUCACAUGGGCCUUCCGGUGAUCUUAUCUGAAGCAUUAAAAGCAAGAACACAGUUUUGCAGACUUCUUUUCCUGGCUCUCUGAUAACCAGCUACAUGUCUUCCACAUGAAGCCUCCUGAGUUCAUCAGUACAUCAUUGCAUCAUUGACAUGACCCUGCUGAACUAUGCCACGUCUGCCUUUGCUUAAGUGGGUAGGACUGAACCUGCAGCAAACUUUGGAGCACUCAUUUGGGUCACAAAUAUUCUUAGGGACUGAACCAAACUGAACAGUGAACCUAAAUGAAUAAAUAAACAGGAAGAAUGGGACCAUGACCA
rnacentral:lncRNA from 10 species